UAAUCGUUGGAGCAGAUGGAAACUCUGUGUACUUAAAAGGGAGGAAAGUCGGAAACUCUUUUGAACCAAUACGGACAGGAGGAUGAUAUUAAGUUAACGGGAUCAAGUUCUUGAGCAAGUUCUUUGGAAUAACUCUUGUUAUUCAGCUUGCCCUUGUGGUCUCAGGAUGGGGCGAAACCAAGUACAUCCACUUCGUUAGGAAGACUUAUGCAUUUCGUAACGCAAAGGCCAAAGGAGGGGGACUCAAGAACUUUAUGAGCAUGUACUAGCUGAUCGCAACACAAUCGGAAGCUAGAGGAAUCACAACUCACGGUCUAUGAGGUAGACGUAGUUGAACCAUUGGUUGGACAAGUUCAUGCCUACGGCAUGUAGGUUUGCUACCUUGAUGGUUAAUUGUGCCUAUUAUGCCCCUUCUUUAGCACCAUGGUGUUGACUUUAUAGCUAAAAUUAGACGGAUUGAUACUUUAAGCCCUAGUGUCUCAAUAACCUGCAUUUACAGCAUGCAACAAGUGCUAUUCCAGUCAGGGGAGGAACUAAUGAAAAAGCGCUCUUCUGAACUUAUUGGCGAGGGAACUACCCCAAAACCUAAGAACGUGGUUGGAUAGAUGAAGGUGCAAGUUUACAAUCAACACUCUCUACUGGGUGGAAGGCUUUGAAAAUCCGUUUCUGUUUGCAUUCCUCCAAAUGGUUCCUUCCCAUGCCAGAGCUUGGCAUAUGUUUGGCCUAGCGAUUAGUAUGUGAAACUGGUUUCUGGACUCCUGAAAAUUGGGCUAACUCUGCGCCGCGGUUCGUCUUCUACUGAAAUUGUUCAAG